rnacentral:rRNA from 1 species
AGAACGAACGCUGGCGGCAGGCUUAACACAUGCAAGUCGAGCGCCUCGCAAGAGGAGCGGCAGACGGGUGAGUAACGCGUGGGAAUCUACCUAGCUCUACGGAAUAGCUCCGGGAAACUGGAAUUAAUACCGUAUACGCCCUUCGGGGGAAAGAUUUAUUGGAGUUGGAUGAGCCCGCGUUGGAUUAGCUAGUUGGUGGGGUAAUGGCCUACCAAGGCGACGAUCCAUAGCUGGUCUGAGAGGAUGAUCAGCCACACUGGGACUGAGACACGGCCCAGACUCCUACGGGAGGCAGCAGUGGGGAAUAUUGGACAAUGGGCGAAAGCCUGAUCCAGCCAUGCCGCGUGAGUGAUGAAGGCCCUAGGGUUGUAAAGCUCUUUCAACGGUGAAGAUAAUGAACGGUAACCGUAAGAAGAAGCCCCGGCUAACUUCGUGCCAGCAGCCGC